GACGAACGCUGGCGGCGUGCCUAAUACAUGCAAGUCGAGCGGACCAAAGGGAGCUUGCUCCUGGAGGUUAGCGGCGAACGGGUGAGUAACACGUGGGCAACCUGCCUGUAAGACUGGGAUAACAUCGAGAAAUCGGUGCUAAUACCGGAUAAUAAAAAGAACUGCAUGGUUCUUUUUUGAAAGAUGGUUUCGGCUAUCACUUACAGAUGGGCCCGCGGCGCAUUAGCUAGUUGGUGAGGUAACGGCUCACCAAGGCGACGAUGCGUAGCCGACCUGAGAGGGUGAUCGGCCACACUGGGACUGAGACACGGCCCAGACUCCUACGGGAGGCAGCAGUAGGGAAUCUUCCGCAAUGGACGAAAGUCUGACGGAGCAACGCCGCGUGAGUGAUGAAGGUUUUCGGAUCGUAAAACUCUGUUGUUAGGGAAGAACAAGUGCCGUUCGAAAGGGCGUCACCUUGACGGUACCUAACGAGAAAGCCACGGCUAACUACGUGCCAGCAGCCGCGGUAA
rnacentral:rRNA from 1 species